AACAACUGUUUGACUGAAGGUAGGAAUGGAAACACCGCCAGGUUGAGCUUAAACUACUUAUCUAAUACUCCUACAUGCAAGGCAUGAUAAUAGUCACAAAUUGUAUGAAGCUAGGUGAAGUUAGCUGAACAAAACCUAAGUGAGAAAUCAUAUGGUAAUGGAUAGGUCGGGAUGCUACAAA
rfam:Bacillus thuringiensis serovar huazhongensis BGSC 4BD1 contig00189, whole genome shotgun sequence.